rnacentral:lncRNA from 1 species
GGCAGCUGACCAGGCGGACCGUUACAUUCCCUUGAAUAGAGUAAGACAAUCCUCAGAAGCAGGCAGUGCCUUGACUGCGCUUCACCGACCCCAUGGAAUUCACCGAGGCUCCAGACGAAGAUUUCAAUAAAUAGCACUCAUUGGUGACAGCAUGAAACGAUUUUAGUCAUUGGGUUGCACCAGGCAAAAGAGGAAAGGCUCUUCAAUGGCGUCAGAGUAACACAAUAUGCGG